UUGGUCACCCUGUUACAAGAGUAUAGCAGUUUUCAUCUAAAGACAGAUGUAAACACUGGGCCAUUGUAUAGGAGCCAGGCAGUGCUGUAACCUGAAGCCAGUCUCACAGGGAGAACUCAAAGUGUUCUUUCCAUACAGUGCUCCGUUCUCCCCAGACUGCCAUGGACAGGUACAUCCAGGCAUAUUGAGCUUGCUGCAGCCAAAGACGCUUUCCCAAAGGUGUGCAUGUAUGCCUGGCCCUCUGGCAGCAGCCUGCAAUGUUCCCACCGGUUCAUUCUUGCCACUCACCCCCAGGCUCCACCCACAAUGGCCUCACGCCAGAUUCUGAGACCAGGUCUGCUUUGAAUGACUGGAACAGAGCAGCCCAGGAUUUAACCCAUUCCUGGCUUGAGUGCCUCCUGCCGUUAACCAUUUCCUCCCCCCUGCCUGUGGCUCGAGUGACCCAACAACAGCCUCUCAACUCUCUCCCAUUUUGCGAGGAAACAUUUCUGCUUUAUGACUGCAUGUGCUUUCUCGUCUCUCCCGUUAUCUUAAUGAAUUAACUGGGUGCCCAUUGCUCCCUGGCCCCCCCACGGUUUACGAGCUGUUCAGCGAUCACUGCGAUCUUCGUCAGCUUCACACAGUUGUUGUACCGGUUCCUAUUACAGUAAUUGGCAUGAACUUUAUUCUUUUGCAGAGAGAUUCUUUGGCCCGCUGAGACUGCAUAACCAUCUGCCAUAAAUUGAGACUAGUACGGCUUAUUUUGGUGAAUGCAAAAUUGGAUCCCAUUCUUUACUCUGUGGCUUGAUUCAACUUCCAGAUGGUUAAUCCACAUGAAGUAAUAGGAAUGCACCACAGCUCUGCUUAGCUGAAGAUGGAGACGUAAUAUUUAUUUGCUGAUGUGGAGGCCUCCAAACGCUGCCCUGUCGGGAUGUCAAUAUAUAACACGGCAGCACAGAAAUGUCAGCUUGUUCUGCAGGAACGACAGGCUCCCCUGAGUUGCCAUGGGGGGACCCCUGGGUGCC
rnacentral:lncRNA from 1 species